AUUUGUUACUCUUUUGUUUCGGACAUGCUUUUUGGAAUGCAGGCACUUGAGAUUUUGACACACUGCUAUAUUCUUGUUCAGAAACUCGGUAUCUGCUAUGGGUUCAUUUAAAGGCUUGAAACAAGUAAGAAGGAUAGUAGAAGAAUGUAUGUUGAAUAAAAUGCAUCCGCUACAUAAUAUUAAAGUGCUCAUGAUGAGGAGUGAUCUUGCUAGUAAUCCAGAACUUGCAAAUGAGAACUGAGAUAGGUUUUUACCCAAGUUUAAAAAGUAAGAUAUAAAAAAUUCGCUUAAGAGAAAUUUUGCCAAAUGAGUUAGUUCAAAAAGCUCACAGCUCGCAUGAGAAAAAGCUAGGUUAUUUCGUAUGUCAGACCCACACAUCUUCAGGUUCCUACUGAGUAUAUAUUAUACCAAAUAUGAUUUCUGCAGUGUGCUUUAAUGAGUGGUGGAGUCAAUGCUAGUCAGCUUGGGUUCCAUGGAGCUGCAAACUCAGGUAUAUAUUCUUUAGAGGCUCGGAAGUUUUGUUUAUUUAUUUUAGAGUAAAAUGCCAUUUUCGUCCCUAAGGUUUGGUCAGUUUUGCGACUUUCGUCCAAAGGUUUGUGAUAAGGGCCCAAUUAAAGUUUAUACGAGAAGAAGGAAACGGGCCACAGCUGCCCAUAUGGAAAAACUGAAUUAUGUUUUUGGGCUUAAGCUGGAUCCACUUGGUCAGGGAGUUGGCAGUAAAUUGGAAGAGUGGGGAGCAGUUACUAUGCCCAUUAUUAGCGAGAAAAUGAAGGGUUGAAGAGCUGUUCCUAUGCCUACUUUAUGGAGCAGUUUCUAAGUGUCAUGUCUAUUAAAGCAGGCUUUUUAUUUUCAAGUGGUUCAUCCUUGUUUUUCAUUAUCAAAGUAUUGUGUAUUUGGAGACAUUGCCCCUCUCGAAUCGGGCUGUUUACUUCAGUUCAAAUAAAGUUUCCUGUUUGAAUUAUAGAUCUUAUCAUUUGGUUCCAUUGCCGGGAAACGAAAGAUGGUUCAAACCCGGAGCACUUCUGAUGGCAGCAGCUCAAACCCAGACCAAAUUGCUGCUCAACUGGCUGCCAUUGCUGCAAAAUUAGAGUCCAUUGAUUUAAUGAAGGAAGACAUUGCAGCCUUGAAAGGAGACCGGUCUAAAGGCAGUAUCUUUGAUGAAGGGGAGAGCUCGUGGAAGGGACGAGUCAGAUACAAACCCUACAACAAA